rnacentral:rRNA from 1 species
UACGUAGGGGGCAAGCGUUGUCCGGAAGCAUUGGGCGUAAAGCGCGUGUAGGCGGUUCAGUAAGUCUGCUGUGAAAGUCCAGGGCUCAACCCUGGGAUGCCGGUGGAUACUGCUGGGCUAGAGUACGGAAGAGGCGAGUGGAAUUCCCGGUGUAGCGGUGAAAUGCGCAGAUAUCGGGAGGAACACCAAUUGCGAAGGCAGCUCGCUGGGACGUUACUGACGCUGAGACGCGAAAGCGUGGGGAGCAAACAGG